UAUUAGUUAUAUAAUAUAUAUAUGAAUUACAGUGACUACUUAUGAUCUACAGUACUGGACAGUACUAAAACUCCAGUGUUUUAGAGAAAAAAAUCAUAACAGGUUUAGAGGUGCACUUUGCAUGAUUGUUCUUAUGGUAAAGCACGCAUAUGUUACUGUGAUAUUUGCCCUGUGUGCCCUUUGACCUUUGCUUCACACAGCCCUUGUGCUGUCAGUUUCUUUAAUCUCAUCCCGAUUAGUGGGAAGUAUCAUUGACAAAUGAUGCUCAGUAUUUACAGGAUGUGAGUGUCUGUCGUUCUCUUUUGAAGCGCUGCUGUGGGCAAACAUGCCUGCAGAGCAGCAGAUGUCUGACAACUCCUCUGCCUGGCUUUCACAGGAACGCUCACUGCUGUGGAGAGCUUUUUAACCAUCAACACCGGACCUGAGGUUUCAAGCAGUGCUUAAAUUAAGCUUUGAGAAUCCACAAGUUGCAAGCUGCUCAUGAAUAAUGCGAAGAACUCUCACAUCCUGAUGGACCAACUAGGAAUUUGUGGGAUUUCAUGGUAACGAGAAACUUGAUUGCAAAAGUGACAUAGUUCAGGUUUUAAAUGUUUUUGUUUGGGAUUUAAAAAAUAGUUAUUCUGAAACAUUUUAUACAUUUACAUUAAGAUUUUAUAUAAAUUCUAGUGUACCGGGGAGCAGACAGAAUGAUGUGAAUAUUAUGAAGAAAGUUGGUCCAUAUUAUGUAGUAUUUCCUAAUCAAAUUGUUAUCUUAUUUCUUGCUGUUUUAAUCGGAUAUGAAGAGAGUUAUAGCAGAUUGUUUGCAUCAGGCCCAUUGCAUGUCGUCAAUGAAGCUGUUGAUGUCUUUUGUUCAGCUGUCUUGUCUUCUUCAUCAGGGAGGAUGUGGUCAUGAUGCAAUGUGGCAGUCAGCCAUGGCUUUGCUGACAGUGCCAGUCUCAGAAGAAUAAGGAAGAAGUUUGCACAUAAACCUUGUCAGUUGUCGGCGCUAGAAUUAAAAAGUGGUGAUUUUAAGUAUUUAUAAAAGAAUUCUCAGCAUUUCAUUCUAUGAAUACUUUCAUGAUUCGUAAGCUUUAUUUAGCAGCUGACUCCCAAAGGAGUGAAGGGGAAUAGUUCUCAGGAUGGAAAUCUGGACUCGUGUUAAUUUGCUUGCUAUUUUGGUGUACCCCAGGGGAGCUCUGUUCUUCAGAAAGGAGAUCGAGCAGUAUGCUGUUCCCUUCAUGGGUUCAGAUCCGUCUGUGGUGGACAUUUAGUCUGAUAUUAUAUUUUGUUAUACACAAGGUUACAGUGUACUUUUGGUUUAUAGUGAAAAUUUCAACUUUUAUAUAUAUAAAUCUCAUUAUACUUAUUUAUUCAUAUUAUAUAUUCUUCCCUAAUUUGUCAUUUAUAGUAAUAUGACUUAAACAAGUCAACAUUUCUGCAGUUUUGAAGACCAUGCCAGUUUUCAGUUUUUGUUAGCCGAACAAUUUUUACCCAGUGCUGCAGAAACCCAGUAUUCAGUUUUCUUAAACUGUUACAUCUAAUGGGUUCUUGACUUCCCUUCUGCUUCCUCUUAAAAAAGAUAGUCUUUGACAGCUUCUUCCCUCGCUUUCCAAACACCAUUAUGCCUCUUACUAGUUUUAAUUACAUUUCUUUUCGAUCUGUCUUGUGCGAGCAUGAUUACUGUGAUAGUGCUCCGAAAGCCUCCGUGGAAAGAGCAGGGGAUGAUUCACAGUCUUUGUGAUUCAUCGUCCUUCUCUUUCAUCUCCAUAGUGAUGACCACAGUGUACAGGGUGAUGUCUUGAAGGUCAACAGGGUGUUGUCAGUAUGUGGUCAUUUUUGAUUGAUGUUUUGCUGUGGACCCCAAAGUGUGCGUUAAUAAUUUAACAGUCACAAAUGUGUGCAGUUCAAUGUCUUACUCACUUUGUUUUUGUUGUUGUUCAGUGCUGAACUGGUUUCAUCUAUGCUCUUGUCCUCAGGUUAAGUACCUGGCAUAUGUAGGUAUUGGUGGUCUCUUUUCCAUGCUGAAGACCCUCUUUGCAGGUGUGGUCUUCUGGUUCAUAGUGAAAUUUAGUAUCGGCUGGGGAUUGCUUACUCAGGUCCAGCAGCAUUUUAAAAAAUCAUUGGAUUUCUAUUGAGCUGCUACAAGAAAAUAUAAUGCUUAAAACUCUCAUUCAUACCACAUCACAUAAACAACUGCUUAUAUAAACUCACAAAUGUCAACUAAAAUAUGUUUCUUCUUUAUUAGUUUCCAGAAUUUUGCUCAUUUGGUUUGUUCUCCAAGAACGGACCAACAAGAAAGCAGGUAAAAAAAAUAAUGCACUGAAAUUUCUAAAACACAAAAUGUCUAACAUCUCUCAUACACAGCCCUUAUUUGAAAAGACACUGAAAAGAAUAAGAAAUGGUUCUUGUCCACCAAAUCAGCAUAUUAGAAUGAUUGCAUGUGACACUGAAGACUGGAGUAAUGGUACUGAAAAUUCAGAUUUACAUUCUAACAUAUAUUCAAAUCGAAAAAAGUAAUUUUACAUUACAAUAAUGUAUCACAAUUUUACUGUUUUUGACCCAAUAAAUGCAGCCUUGGUGAUCAUAAAAUAACUGUUUUUGAACGAUAAUUUUUGUGAACCACCUCAUGUAUUGAUGUUUUAAUAAAAAUCAACCUCUGUG